rnacentral:tRNA from 1 species
UGCAGUCACCAAACGUAACGUAUACAGAUACGCACAUCGAAUCCAAGUAUACGUACGCGAACAC